ACGCUCGACACCUACGGCAGGCAGCAGUGGGGAAUAUUGCACAAUGGGGGAAACCCUGAUGCAGCAACGCCGCGUGAAGGAAGACGGUUUUCGGAUUGUAAACUUCUGUUCUUAGUGAAGAUAGUGACGGUAGCUAAGGAGCAAGCCACGGCUAACUACGUGCUAGCAGCCGCGGUAAUCUGAGCGGGCGUGGCGAAGGC
rnacentral:rRNA from 1 species